rnacentral:misc_RNA from 1 species
AAAAUAAUCCUACCCUUUGUGAAUUUUGUUUGUUUGAAUAAUUUUUUUUUUUUAAAAAAUUAUUGGAGUCUUUCCCUUUAGAGUUUGCUUUUGAGUUUGUAAAAGAAUUCGAAAACACCUAAAGGGGAUGGUCAAUAAUUUUUUUUGAAAAAAGACAUUUUUUAAAAUUAAACUUUUUGUAUUCAUUUGUCUAAAAAUUAUUUUUAUAAUAUAAAAACAACUUUUGACAAUGGAUCUCUGGAUCUCGCAACGAUGAAGAACGCUGCAAAAUGCGAUAAGUAGUGUGAAUUGCAGAAUACGUGAAUCAUCGAAUCUUUGAACGCAUAUUGCACUUUUUUAGUUUACUAAAAAAGUAUGUCUGUUUGAGUAUCAGUAAAAUAUUCUCAUAAAAAUCAUUGUAUUUUUAUGGUUAUGAGUGUUUUACAACGAUACAAGUUGUUUCACUUUAAAUUUUUUUUUAAUAUUGAAAUUUUUCUAAUUUUAAUAAUUAAAAUUGGAUAAAAUUUUCCCGUCAAAAGGAAUAACCUAAACAAUUUUAAACGAUUAAUUUUAGCAAAAUUUUCGUAAAAAAGGAAAAUUUUUAUUAAAAUAACUUGAUCUCAAAUCAGAUAAGAGUACCCGCUGAACUUAAGCAUAUCAAUAAGCGGAGGAAAAGAAACUAACAAGGAUUCCCUUAGUAACGGCGAGUGAAGCGGGAAGAGCUCAAAUUUGAAAUCUUCAAGGUUUUACCUUGACGAAUUGUAGUUUAAAGAAGUGUUUUCUGCUGAAGUUUUGGGUAAAAGUUCUUUGGAAUAGGACAUCAUAGAGGGUGAGAAUCCCGUAUUUGACCAUUAUUUUCAGCUUUGUGAUACACUUUCAAAGAGUCGGAUUGUUUGGGAAUGCAGUCCAAAAUGGGUGGUAAAUUUCAUCUAAAGCUAAAUAUUGGCGAGAGACCGAUAGCGAACAAGUACCGUGAGGGAAAGAUGAAAAGAACUUUGAAAAGAGAGUUAAACAGUACGUGAAAUUGUCAAAAGGGAAGCGUUUGACACCAGUGUUGUUUUCUCGAAAAUCAAUUAAAAAUGGCUCGAUUUUGUAUUGCUGAGACCUUAAAAGCUCACUGUACAUUUUUCGUGUCUUUUUAAUGCACUUUUCGUUUAACAAGUCAACAUCAGUUUCUUUUGUUGUAAAAGGGUCAUUGGAAGGUGGCUUUCUUUUCGGAGAAAGUGUUUAUAGCCUUUGGCCUCUGCAAUCGGAGAGACUGAGGUCUGCAGCGUAGACUCUUCGGGGUUAGAUACAUUUGUGCUAGUUAUAGCUUUUUAUAGACAACUUGUUGACUAUAAUUAGUCUUGUAGCUUACUCGCUUAUGCUAUUUUACCUACGCUUAGGAUG